rnacentral:tRNA from 1 species
GCAGAUAGUUUAAAUUAAAAUGAUUUAUUUACACUAAUUUGUUCACAUAAUGUUUGUA